CACGUAGGGGGCGAGCGUUGUCCGGAUUCAUUGGGCGUAAAGCGCGCGCAGGCGGCUCGGCAAGUCGGGUGUGAAAACUCGGGGCUCAACCCCGGGCGUGCAUCCGAUACUGCCGGGCUUGAGGCAGGUAGGGGAGAUCGGAAUUCCUGGUGUAGCGGUGAAAUGCGCAGAUAUCAGGAGGAACACCGGUGGCGAAGGCGGAUCUCUGGGACGGUACUGACGCUGAGACGCGAAAGCGUGGGGAGCGAACAGG
rnacentral:rRNA from 1 species